GAAAAAUACAGGUAUCUCGGCUACUAUAUAGACGGUUACUUGAUGCUCGGUCUUGUUGUGUUGCUGGUCGUUAUGGAGAGCUUCUGGAAGCUUCAGCAAGUGCAGGCCUUGGUGCGUCUCUUUGUUGGGUCUACAACAGCGUCACUAAAAGAAGAUGAUCUUGAGGAGCUAGUGCUAGGUGAAUGGCCAGACAGCCAUGAUAUUCCAACAGCGGCUGUUCAGUUUAGACCCCCUAUCUCCAUCAUCUCACAUCGCAUGUCUGAUUCACCAGCAUUCCCUUUUGUGGAGGAUGCAUGUACAUCAUUUACAGCAAAAGCGGCAACUUAUAAGAAGACCGUGUGUCCGCAACAUCAGCCAGACACUGAUCCAGACCCAGCUGAUCAAAACAACUGAUUACCAAAAUCAAAUGUCUUUAAACACGGUCACUAAAUUU
ensembl:lncRNA